rnacentral:rRNA from 1 species
CGAAAGCCCUGACGGACCAUCCGGCGUGCGGGAAGGAAAGGCCUUUGGUUCUUAACGGCUUUUAACAGGGAAGAAGAUCUGACGGUAACCUUUGGAAUUAAGCCUCGGUUAACUCCCGUGGCCAGCAGCCCCCGUUAAGGACGAGGAAGCCAACCUUUAUCCGGAAUUAAUUUGGGGCGUAAAAGCUUCCGCAGUUGCCUUUCAAGUCUGCCUGUUAAAAGCCCAGGGCUCAACUCUGGAUCAGCAAGUGGAAACUUGAAAAGCUGGAGUACGGUAGGGAUAGAGGGAAUUCCCAGUGUAGCGGUGAAAUGCGUAGAUAUUGGGAAGAACACCAGUGGCGAAGGCGCUCUGCUGGGCCGUAACUGACACUCAUGGACGAAAGCUAGGGGAGCG